GGGGCCCAGUAGUUAGGGCCCCAGAUUUGAAAUCUGGAGAUCCCGAGUUCAAGUGCUCUGAUCA
rnacentral:tRNA from 1 species